UUAGAUGGAGGAGACCCAAAAUUAGCUCGCGCCUUUCUCUCCCACUUCGUGCGCACCCUUCAGUCUCCCACCACAACCCUCGUCGUCGUCUCCCGCAAUUCUGAACAUCAUCUACUCUCUUUGUUCUCAACCACAGUCAUCGUCGUCGUCUCCCACCCUAAACCCUGCAACUCUCAACGACGGCACCGUUAAGUCUCCCACCUACAGCCAUCGUCUUCUUUCUUUGUUCUACCCACAGCCAUCAUCGUUUCCCGCAACUCUCAACGACAACGCCAUUCAGUGUUCUCACAAGAUCUCAUCGUCGUCUUCUCUCUCUAUUCUCACCGACAGGCAACUCUCAACAUUCCAUUUGCAGUCAUGCGGGAACAGAGAGGCUCUUGAGUUGAAUAAUUUUGUAUUGUUGCAACGUCGUAUUGCAAUUGGUAUAGCUCGAGAAAGGGGAGAAUAUACCUCCAAUAGAAGCUGCAAAAGGAGUUGUCAUUGCUACAGAGAAAAAACUGCCAUCUAUAUUGGUUGAUGAAGCAUCAGUGAGUUUAUUUUCUGUUUGAUCCCUUUUUGUUCAUUAUUCAUGUAAAAAAUUAUCAAAUUGUCCUAUCCAAGUUAAAAAGGUUAGGCUGAAGGUUGAACUUACGAUGUUUAUGUUUUUGUAAACUUAUAGGAAAAAUCCAUAGUUGCCCUACUGUGUGUUUGUGCAUGGUUUUAAUGAAGUCAAUCACACAUAUCCUUGACUGAAGGUCCCAAUUGUAAGCUACAUUGCUUCAUAGUUCAUCCUUGAAAAAAAUAAAUAGAGGUUCAAAACAAUUUUGUCCAUUCAAAUGACUCAAACCCACAAAAUCUCCUUGUAAAUUCCUUCUUGUGUUGCAAGGCUGGAUUUCCAGGUUGGGUCACCCUACGUGUACGCUGAAUAAUAUAUAAAUGCACACAUAUCCAUGUCUAUAUCUUUGUUUGGAUACAUCUGUGUACUAUACUGUCUUCUAAUUUAUAUGACUCGUAGUUUAUUUUUAUUGGAUAUUUAAUGAAUUUAGUACCUCACGACAAUCUGAUGCUUACUUUGUAUGGAGCAAUUCAUUGUGUUAAACUGUCCUCUCUUCCUAGUACUCAAAGUAAAAAGUAUAAUAUAUAGCAUUGUUUUGUUUUACUUUUUUCUUUGAAAAACAUUUGCUUAGUGGAAUGAGGUUCUUGUUAUCUUUGGGUAGUUAAGGACGUUUCAAACUUUGGUCAUUGAUAAUAUAAUCCUUUAUGUAGUAUUUGCAAGCCGUUUGUCAAUUUAACUCAUGACUCAUGAAGUAUUCUGUGUAUUUAUUCUUUGUUUUAUUUGC